GACGAACGCUGGCGGCGGGCUUAACACAUGCAAGUCGAACGGAAAGGCCCUGCUUUGGUGGGGAGCUUGAGUUGCGAACGGGUGAGUAACACGUGAGUAACCUGCCCUUGCCUUUGGGAUAACUUCAUGAAACUGAGGCGAAUACCGGAUAGGAGCUCCUGCUGCAUGGUGGGGGUUGGAAAGUUUCGGCGGUUGGGGAUGGAAUCGCGGCUUAUCAGCUUGUUGGUUGGGUAGUGGCUUACCAAGGCUUUGAGGGGUAGACGGCCUGAGAGGGUGACCGGCCACGCUGGGAUUGGAAUACGACCCGGACUGGUACGGGACGGAGCGGUGGGGAAUAUUACACUGUGGACGGACGCCAGGUGCCACAGAGCCGCGAGAGGGAUGAAGGCAAUCCCGUUGCAUGGCGCAUUCGCCUGAGACGAAACGAGAGUGACGGUAAUGGGUAAAUAAGCACCGGCUAACUACGUG
rnacentral:rRNA from 1 species